CCGUUGCCGGCGACCGGCGCACGGGUGAGUAACACGUAUGCAACCUGCCCGUGGCAGGGGGAGUAAGCGGGGGAAACCCCGUCUAAUACCGCGUAACGCGGCCUUGGGGCAUCCCAAGGCCGCCAAGGGAGCAAUCCCGGCCACGGAUGGGCAUGCGGCGCAUUAGCUAGUCGGCGGGGUAACGGCCCACCGAGGCGACGAUGCGUAGGGGUUCUGAGAGGAAGGCCCCCCACACUGGUACUGAGACACGGACCAGACUCCUACGGGAGGCAGCAG
rnacentral:rRNA from 1 species